GUUGUCCGGAAUUACUGGGUGUAAAGGGAGCGUAGGCGGGACGGCAAGUCAGAUGUGAAAACUAUGGGCUCAACCCAUAGACUGCAUUUGAAACUGUUGUUCUUGAGUGAGGUAGAGGUAAGCGGAAUUCCUGGUGUAGCGGUGAAAUGCGUAGAGAUCAGGAGGAACAUCGGUGGCGAAGGCGGCUUACUGGGCCUUUACUGACGCUGAGGCUCGAAAGCGUGGGGAACAAACAGGAUUAAGAUACCCUGGUACUCCACCGUCGUAAACGAUGAUUACUACGUGUGGGGGGA
rnacentral:rRNA from 1 species